AUUGAACGCUGGCGGCAUGCCUAACACAUGCAAGUCGAACGGAAACGGCAUUAACAAUCCCUUCGGGGUGCGGUUUAUGGACGUCGAGUGGCGGACGGGUGAGUAACGCAUAGGAAUCUGCCCAUGUAGUGGGGGACAACCUGGGGGAAACUCAGGCUAAUACCGCAUACGCCCUACGGGGGAAAGCGGGGGAUCUUCGGACCUCGCGCUAUAGGAUGAGCCUAAGUCGGAUUAGCUUGUUGGUGAGGUAACGGCUCACCAAGGCAACGAUCCGUAGCUGGUCUGAGAGGACGAUCAGCCACACUGGGACUGAGACACGGCCCAGACUCCUACGGGAGGCAGCAGUGGGGAAUAUUGGACAAUGGGGGCAACCCUGAUCCAGCAAUGCCGCGUGUGUGAAGAAGGCCUGCGGGUUGUAAAGCACUUUCAGUAGAGAAGAAAAGCUUACGGUUAAUACCUGUGAGUCUUGACGUAACCUACAGAAGAAGCACCGGCUAACUCCGCG
rnacentral:rRNA from 1 species